GAUCAUGGCUCAGGACGAACGCUGGCGGCGCGCCUAACACAUGCAAGUCGAACGAGCGAGAGAGAGCUUGCUUUCUCGAGCGAGUGGCGAACGGGUGAGUAACGCGUGAGGAACCUGCCUCAAAGAGGGGGACAACAGUUGGAAACGACUGCUAAUACCGCAUAAGCCCACAGCUCGGCAUCGAGCAGAGGGAAAGGGAGCAAUCCGCUUUGAGAUGGCCUCGCGUCCGA
rnacentral:rRNA from 1 species